rnacentral:tRNA from 1 species
GCCGGAGUAGCUCAGUUGGCAGAGCAUCGCUCUUGUAAAGCGAAGGCCGUCGGUUCGAGCCCGACCUCCGGCU